rfam:Camelus ferus unplaced genomic scaffold scaffold200, whole genome shotgun sequence.
GAGGGUAUAGCUCAGUGGCAGAGCAUGUACUUAGCGUGCAGGAGGGCCUGGGUUCAGUCCCCAGUACAUCCA